AUACCAUGAUGAGGACAUCUUCUAAGUAAUUCUUUAAAUCUCUCCCAUACAUCACACAAGCUCUCAUCUUCAAGUUGAUGGAAAGAUGUGAUCUCGUUCCUCAACUU
rnacentral:snoRNA from 1 species